AUUUCGGUCUCGCGCAAUGGAUGCCUGUGAAUCAUGUCAGGCGGGGAACCGAGCAGCAUUAAGCGGGAAUGUCCAUGUGCCGCGAGGGUGCCGAGUCUGA
rnacentral:SRP_RNA from 1 species